rnacentral:lncRNA from 1 species
AUAUAUACUUAAUAUAUACAUAUAUAUAUAUAUUUUUUAAAUAUUUUAAAAUAUGUCAUUAUUAAAAUUUCAAUAAAGGCUUUUUAAUAAUGAAAAAGUUAUACAUAUACAAGAGAAUAUAAGUAAAUAAGCACUUACACGUGAUUAAGGGCUUUUACGUCAUUAAGUGCUUAUUCAUUUUUUAUUCCGUUAACUCCAUUUUUUUUUUAAUUUUCAAUAUUUUCAUUUUUUCUACUUUCUCUCUUUCAACAUGCAGAAUAAAACAUUAGAAAAAACAAACAACGUUGAAAAAACUAGUGAUAAAAAAAAAAAAAAAAAUGAAAUAAAACCAGUGAUUUCGACAAAAUCUGCUAUAGUAAGUUGCAUAUCUGUAUUAUCAAAAGGUCAAAGGGCAGAUAAAAGUAGCUCAACCAGCUACUCAGGUAAUGAAAUGUCUUUUGAUGAAGAUGACAACAAAAAGGAUAAAGACGCUUUAUUAAAUGAACAGAAUGACGAUUUGAUAGAUUGUAUAUUUACUGAGAUAACAUCAAAUCGUGAAGUAAUUAAAAAGGAUGAUAUUAUAAAAUCAAAUAAUAAAUAUAUGUUCGAAGACGAGUUAAGAAUUGAAAAAGAUGAUACUCUUGUUUUUACAGGAAUGAUAUAUAGUGAUAUAGGAACAUUAGAAGUACAUAUUUUUAAUUAUGAUGAAAAUAUUUUUUGUAUUUAUGAUGAUGUUGUAAUUGAUAGUUAUCCACUAUGUAUGGAAGUGAUAAACUCGACACAAUAUGAAAAUAAAAAUAUAGUAGCAAUUGGUACUAUGAAUAAAGAAAUAGGUUUAUGGGACAUUGACCAUAUUGAUAGCUUAGAACCUUUAUGUUAUUUAGGAGUGGAUGAAAUAAAUAAAAAAAAUGAAAAAAAAAAAUCAAGUAAAAGAAAAAAAAAAAAAAUGAAAUUAGAACAUGAGUCAUAUAAUAAUGAUACAACUACUAAUGACAAUGAUAAACAAACAUGUAUUAAUAAAAAUAAUGCAAAUAAUUUAUGUGGUCAUUCAAAAGCAGUAACUUGUUUGUCCACACCUAAAAACAUACCAAACUU